rnacentral:ncRNA from 1 species
AUGAGCCUUAUGAUAGGAAACUAUCUCGUGCGGUUCAAAGAGGACUCAGUUAUUAGUUAGUAUCCCCAUGGUUUUGGGGUGGACCUUUUCACUCUAU